CAUAGACCAACUCAAGGUACACCUGUUUAUUGCAUAGACAAUCUCAAGGUACACCUGCUUAUUGCAUAGACAAACUCAAGGUACACCUGUGUAUUGCAUAGACCAACUCAAGGUACACCUGUGUAUUGCAUAGACCAACUCAAGGAACACCUGUUUAUUGCAUAGACCAACUCAAAGUACACCUGUGUAUUUCAAACUCAAGGUACACCUGUUUAUUGCAUAGACCAACUCAAGGUACACCUGUUUAUUGCAUAGACCAACUCAAGGUACACCUGUUUAUUGCAUAGACCAACUCAAGGUACACCUGUUUAUUGCAUAGACCAACUCAAGGUACACCUGUUUAUUGCAUAGACCAACUCAAGGUACACCUGUUUAUUGCAUAGACCAACUCAAGGUACACCUGUUUAUUGCAUAGACCAACUCAAGGUACACCUGUUUAUUGCAUAGACCAACUCAAGGUACACCUGUUUAUUGCAUAGACCAACUCAAGGUACACCUGUUUAUUGUAUAGACCAACUCAAGGUACACCCUGUUUAUUGCAUAGACCAACUCAAGGUACACCUGUGUAUUGCAUAGAUCAACUCAAGGUACACCUGUGUAUUGCAUAGACAAACUCAAGAUACACCUGUGUAUUGCAUAGACCAACUCAAGGUACACCUGCUUAUUUACAUCUGCCAACCUCGACUUUUUCUGUAAUUAGCUUAAACCUGACUCACUCAAGGUACCACUGCUUAUUGACGUCUGCCAACCUUGACCGGUCUUGUCCUGUAAUUAUCUAGAAGCUGACAUACUCAUUGUAUGCCUGUUCAUAGCCAGAGCAUUGUGCUCCCUGUCUGGACUCAAGCACAGACCAGCUUGAUAUCACGGCGAGCGCUAUCCCAGUUGAGCUAUCCAGGACGGCACACAAGCUUCCUCCAUCAGUGACCAUGUUCAGGCCUUGACACGGUCAUCUUCCUAUCAAGUGUUGUCUUGUUUUGUCAGCAUCUUUCUGAUACUUUUUACUGACAAUAUAUAACUCACUUGAUUAUUUCUCCAAGCAACCUAUAGUUAUAUAUUUUAGCUGCCAAACAUAAGUAUUGUGAAUGAUAAAUAAAUAACAGUUUGUUCGUUUGGUAAAAGAAAACAAAUAUUGAUUUUCUUGAGGUUGACCCUGCGUUUUGGUCAACCCUCAACAAACUCUGUCAAUUUUUGGCUAAAGCCCUAGUUGUCAGUGUUGGCUUCGGGAUGACAAAUGCACUGUCACCCUCAAGGAAGUCAAUCUUUAUAGAAAAUUUCAUUAAUUACUUAAACACAUAUUAUAAUAAUUUGCUAUGAUCAGCUGAGGUCCGAAAUGGUUUUUUAAAGAGCCGUUUUCUGGGAAAACUGGGCUAAAUGCGUGUGUGUAAAGUGUGAUCCAAGAUUAGCUUGUACUGACAGAGACUUUAUUUGAACACAAAAUUCCAUACAAGUGCCAAGUGUUGACCUUGAUUAGACUGCACACUUAUGGCACAUUUUAAUUUUAACAGGAUUUUCCUUUAAACUGGCUUAAAUGUGAAUGGGUCAAUUUUUUUGU